UCUCGAUAGCGUAAAAGUUAAGUCAAAUUUGUAUGAAGUUGGAACGUUUGCCUACGUUUGCCGCUAGGGGCGCUGUUCCAACUGCAUACCAGGUAACUUUUACGUUAUCGA
rnacentral:pre_miRNA from 9 species